AGCAGCCGCGGUAAUCCCAGCUCCAAUAGCGUAUAUUAAAGUUGUUGCAGUUAAAAAGCUCGUAGUUGAAUUUCGGGGUUAGCAGGUCGGUUGUGCCAUCGGUAUGAACUGGUCUCGCUGAUCCCUCCCUCUUGACGAACUGUGAUGCCAUUAAUUUGGUGUCGCAGGGAAUCAGGACUGUUACUUUGAAAAAUUAGAGUGUUUAAAGCAGGCUCACGCUUGAAUACAUUAGCAUGGAAUAAUGAAAUAGGACGUUUGAUCCUAUUUUGUUGGCUUCUAGGAUUGACGUAAUGAUUAAUAGGGAUAGUUGGGGCAUUAGUAUUCAAUUGUCAGAGGUGAAAUUCUUGGAUUUAUUGAAGACUAACUACUGCGAAAGCAUUUGCCAAGGAUGUUUUCAUUAAUCAAGAACGAAAGUUAGGGGAUCGAAGACGAUCAGAUACCGUCGUAGUCUUAAACCAUAAACUAUGCCGACUAGGGAUCGGAUGAUGUUAAUUUUUUAAUGUACUC
rnacentral:rRNA from 1 species